rnacentral:rRNA from 3 species
AGUCGAGCGGACGGAUGGGAGCUUGCUCCCUGAAGUCAGCGGCGGACGGGUGAGUAACACGUGGGCAACCUGCCUGUAAGACUGGGAUAACUUCGGGAAACCGGAGCUAAUACCGGAUAAUGCACAGCCUCUCAUGAGGCUAUGCUGAAAGAUGGUUUCGGCUAUCACUUACAGAUGGGCCCGCGGCGCAUUAGCUAGUUGGUGAGGUAACGGCUCACCAAGGCAACGAUGCGUAGCCGACCUGAGAGGGUGAUCGGCCACACUGGGACUGAGACACGGCCCAGACUCCUACGGGAGGCAGCAGUAGGGAAUCUUCCGCAAUGGACGAAAGUCUGACGGAGCAACGCCGCGUGAGUGAUGAAGGUUUUCGGAUCGUAAAACUCUGUUGUCAGGGAAGAACAAGUGCCGGAGUAACUGCCGGCACCUUGACGGUACCUGACCAGAAAGCCACGGCUAACUACGUGCCAGCAGCCGCGGUAAUACGUAGGUGGCAAGCGUUGUCCGGAAUUAUUGGGCGUAAAGCGCGCGCAGGCGGUCUCUUAAGUCUGAUGUGAAAGCCCACGGCUCAACCGUGGAGGGUCAUUGGAAA